rnacentral:sRNA from 1 species
UACAUUGUUUUCUAGGGUUCCGUGGUUGUACAUACGCCGGUCUGGUCCAAGAGAAAACGCACAGCUCACCCUGUGUUCACGGAGGGACAAAAGCCCGGGAGGA